rnacentral:rRNA from 1 species
AGGAUGAACGCUGGCGGCGUGCCUAACACAUGCAAGUCGAACGUCCUGUCUCGCAAGAGGCAGGGAGUGGCGGACGGGUGAGUACCACGUGGGUCAUCUACCGUGAGGUGAGGAAUACCGGCGAGAAAUCGCCGACAAGACCGCAUAGGCUCGAUGCAAGUCGAGCAAAGCUCUUUCGAGAGAGGGAGCGCCACACGAGGAGCCUGCGCCCGAUUAGCUAGCUGGUGGAGUAACGGUUCACCAGGGCGACGAUCGGUAGCUGGUCUGAGAGGACGAUCAGCCACACUGGGAUUGAGAACGGCCCAGACUCCUACGGGGGGCAGCAGUGAGGAAUUUUCGUCAAUGGGGGCAACCCUGAACGAGCAACGCCGCGUGCAGGAAGAAGGUUUUCGGAUCGUAAACUGACUUUUCUCGGGGUAAGAGAAUGGACGGUACCCGAGGAAUCAGCCCCGGCUAACUACGCGCCAGCAGCCGCGGU